GUGGUUAAUUCGAUGCAACGCGAAGAACCUUACCUGGUCUUGACAUCCCGGAGACCCUUAGGAAACUAGGGGUGCUUCCAUCUGGAAGGAAUCUGGAGACAGGUGCUGCAUGGCUGUCGUCAGCUCGUGUCGUGAGAUGUUGGGUUAAGUCCCGCAACGAGCGCAACCCUUGCCUUUAGUUGCCAGCAGUUCGGCUGGGCACUCUAAAGGGACUGCCGGGUGUUAAACCGGAGGAAGGUGGGGAUGACGUCAAGUCCUCAUGGCCUUUAUGACCAGGGCUACACACGUACUACAAUGGCCGAUACAAAGGGCAGCGACACUGCGAGGUGAAAGCCAAUCCCGUAAAAUCGGUCUCAGUCCGGAUUGGAGUCUGCAACUCGACUCCAUGAAGUUGGAAUCGCUAGUAAUCGUGGAUCAGCAUGCCACGGUGAAUACGGUUCCCGGGCCUU
rnacentral:rRNA from 1 species